CCUGGCUCAGAUUGAACGCUGGCGGCAUGCCUAACACAUGCAAGUCGAACGGCAGCAUGGUCUAGUUUACUAGACUGAUGGCGAGUGGCGGACGGGUGAGUAACGCGUAGGAAUAUGCCUUAAAGAGGGGGAUAACUUGGGGAAACUCAAGCUAAUACCGCGUAAGCUCUUAGGAGGAAAGCUGGGGACCUUCGGGCCUGGCGCUUUAAGAUUAGCCU
rnacentral:rRNA from 1 species